rnacentral:rRNA from 1 species
GCAAGUCGAACGAGAAAGCCCUUCGGGGUGAGGAGAGUGGCGCACGGGUGAGUAACACGUAGGUAAUCUACCUUAUAGUGGGGAAUAACUUGAGGAAACUUAAGCUAAUACCGCAUGUUGACUUCGGUCUAAAGAUGGACUCUUCUUGAAUGCUAUCGCUAUAAGAUGAGCCUGCGGGACAUUAGCUUGUUGGUGGGGUAAUGGCCUACCAAGGCGACGAUGUCUAGCGGGUCUGAGAGGAUGAUC